rnacentral:rRNA from 1 species
UACGUAGGGUGCAAGCGUUGUCCGGAAUUAUUGGGCGUAAAGAGCUCGUAGGCGGUCUGUCGCGUCGGCUGUGAAAACUCGGGGCUCAACCCCGAGCCUGCAGUCGAUACGGGCAGACUAGAGUGCGGUAGGGGAGAUUGGAAUUCCUGGUGUAGCGGUGGAAUGCGCAGAUAUCAGGAGGAACACCAAUGGCGAAGGCAGAUCUCUGGGCCGUAACUGACGCUGAGGAGCGAAAGCAUGGGGAGCGAACAGG